GAUGAACGCUGGCGGCGUGCCUAAUACAUGCAAGUCGAACGAGCGGACGAGAGCCUUGUUUCUCAAAUGUUUGCCGCGGACGGGUGAGUAACACGUGGAUAACCUCCCUAUAAGACUGGGAUAACUUCGGGAAACCGGAUCUAAUACCGGAUGAUAACGUGAACCGCAUGGGUCAAGGGUGAAAGACCGUCUUGCUUUCACAUAUCGAUGGAUCCGCGCUGCAUGAUCUAGUUGGUAAGGUAACGCCAUACCAAGGCAACGAUGCUGACCCGCCCGGAGAGGGUGGUUGGCCAGACUGGAGCUGAGACACGGCCGAGACUCUUACGGGAGGCAGCAGUAGGGACUCUUACGCAAUGGGGGAAAGGGUGAUGGAGCAAAGCGGGGGGAGUGAUGAAGGUGUUAGGCUCGGAAAACUCUGUUAUUAGGGAGGAUCAUAUGUGUAAGUAUCUGGGAAGAUCAUGACGGUACCUAACCAGAAAGCGACGGCUAACUACGUG
rnacentral:rRNA from 1 species